rnacentral:rRNA from 1 species
CCGGGAUGUAAACUGCUGUCGGGUGGGACGAAUGACUUCCGGGUGAAUAAUCCGGAGGAGUGACGGUACCACCGAAGGAAGCACCGGCUAACUCUGUGC